GACGAACGCUGGCGGCGUGCUUAACACAUGCAAGUCGAACGGAAAGGCCCCUUUGGGGGUACUCGAGUGGCGAACGGGUGAGUAACACGUGAGUAACCUGCCCUUGACUUCGGGAUAACUUCAGGAAACUGGAGCUAAUACCGGAUAGGAAUCCUUGCUGCAUGGUGGGGGUUGGAAAGCUUCGGCGGUUUUGGAUGGACUCACGGCUUAUCAGCUUGUUGGUGGGGUAGUGGCUUACCAAGGCUUUGACGGGUAGCCGGCCUGAGAGGGCGACCGGCCACAUUGGGACUGAGAUACGGCCCAGACUCCUACGGGAGGCAGCAGUGGGGAAUAUUGCACAAUGGGCGGAAGCCUGAUGCAGCAACGCCGCGUGCGGGAUGACGGCCUUCGGGUUGUAAACCGCUUUCAGCAGGGGCGAAGCUUGUGGUGACGGUACCUGCAGAAGAAGCACCGGCUAACUACGUG
rnacentral:rRNA from 1 species